GGGAGCCCAUCUCUUGCUCCAUGGUCCUUUACAGACCAAGACGAUGCUUACCAUUUUGGACCAGCCGUUUCUUUCUCCUUUACAGUUGAAUGGCAGAAGAGCACAGGCUGAAUCAGACUGUGCAGAGCUAGCCCCACAGCUCAUCCUCAGAACCAGGUCUGUCCAGGAUGGCACAGGACAGCCGACCUCUCCUCCAUAAGCAUCCAGUGUUGCUCAAAGGGAGGACCCACUGCUCCCUAGUCUGUUGAUACAGAAGCCCGCCCCAGCGCAGUGUCCACAAUCUCUCUUGGAUGCGGCCUCCCCGGAGAGCCCCCUGCAGUGUUUAUAGAGGUACACUUUCAUCAACCUAGUGAGACUCGUUCUCUUUCCAAGCCUUUCUAUCACUGUGACUGUCUGAAAUUCUGCCAAGUGUAAAAUUAAUGGCUCUGAUGAGGGUCUGAGAAAUGUUUCAGUCUUUCCCAUUUCGGCCACCAAAAGUUAAGCUCAAUGCUUUUCCUAUCCUGAGCUCUAACCAAGGGAGGCUUGGGUUACAUACAUGCUUCUCUGAAGACCACUUUCUCCAAGCCUGGUUUUCACCCAGAAACUCUCUUCCCAAUAUUCAGAUUAAAUAAGGGAAUGUCAGGAUGCCACAGCAGAGCUGCAGGGACAGAGUUGCUGAGAGUGGCUCAGCUCCGCGUAACCUCUCCAGGUCUGUCCCUUGGCCUCCUUCCCCAGCAAAACAUUUGAUCUGUGGUCCCUAUGGUAUCCCAGGGAUGAAGCAGUCUCCUCACUCCUAGGUACUGAUUCAACUCAAGUGCUCUUCCUUUGAGGAAAGCUGCAGCAGAAGCCAUGGAUACGUUGCCUCUUUCUACCCCCAGCCCAAGCAAUGGGCUGGCAGGGUAAAUACUUGCCUUUCUGGCCCUAGUGCUUCCUGUGGGAGGCCAUCUGGACCUUGUUUAAGUGGCCAAGCCGUGGAGUUCCCCCAUUCCUAUCACCAAGACAGAAAGCACAGAAUUCAACUGCCUGAGAUGAGGGCACUCCACUGGGAAGUGAGUGCCAGGGUUGUCCCAUGCCUUAGCCCAAAGCACAAUAGUCAUUGCAGGCAUCAUGGCUUCCAGAAGUUCAUAAAACAGUAAGGCUAGGAGAAACUGUCUCGUAGGGGCCAUCCAGCCAUGACUACCCCAGAGCCAAAGUAAGCAACCUUGAGGCACAAAACUUGAACUGGCAGCCAGCUCUGGCAUUCCAUGUCUCCUUCCAACCAACAAAGUAAAGACACAUACUCUGUAUGCAUGUGCAUACAGAGAGACACAAGUGUACAGGGUCAUUCGUGGCCCAGAGCAUGGAAAAGAGGAGCAGGUCUUGUCUGGACCAGUGAUCAAGAGACCCAUUUCUAUUCUGGAAACCCAUUCCGAGAACUGUGUCACUAGGCGAUGUCAUCUUAGUGCAAAGAGUGCUCUUGCACAAACCAAACAGCUACCACAUGAGUAGGCAAUAUUAUUUACGGGACCACCAUUGUACAUGUCAUCUGUUGUUGGUUGAAAUGUCACUAGGUGGCACAUGACUAUUCUGUACUUGGCACUGAGAGGCAAAACAACCUUGAUGCUGAAUUUUCAGACCAUCCUGGCAGGACCUGUAACCAGGGCCCCUUUCUAACCUGCCAUUUACAGUGGGGCCAGAUCUCCUCGUUCUUCUUGUCAUCUGGGUUUCUCUUGCUCACUGUCUCUCUCGUGUCCUGGCUGCAGCCCAGACAACGGAGAUCUUAAGUGGGCAUGAUCAGUAUAUGGCCUGGUCCCACAGCUCAGCUCUGGAAAAUGGUGGAGCCAAGCACCACUCCUGCUGCUGCUUGCCUAUUGCCACUGUUUUUGGCAACCCUGUAAAGAAAAGGAUAGGCUACACAGAAUUCCCAUUAGAUCAACACUAAAGAAAAAUGGCUCCCCUCUGGGAUGCAUGCCCCAGUGGCUCAGAGCAUGGCGACACGGGGUUAGGUCUGGUCUAGAUGGAUAACUAAAGCCCAUUCCAUUCUACUUUGGAAUAGAAAGGGCUGCCCUUUCUAUGUCAACAAUCAGCAAAGGCCUUCAAGUUUAGCCUCUAAGCAUUAAGGGAUAUCCAUGGUUUGUUUCCAGCCAAACAGACUGGGAAGGAGACUCAGAGCCCUUCAGUAACCGAGGAUCCAAGGCCCUCUGGCUCCUCGUGUCCUUCCCAUGCACCUUUUCUGCUGAAGGUGACUUGGCAGUAAUUGGAGGGGACCAACCCCAAGCCCUGUCUUCCUGUCUACAGCUGCAUGAUUCUCCCUGUGACCCAGCCUUUGCAGUACUCCAGGCGGAGGCUGGGCACUGCGGAAACCAUAAUAAACAGAUUGCGGUGUUG
rnacentral:lncRNA from 1 species